rnacentral:lncRNA from 10 species
CCCCUUCCCUGUUAGGUGGGCUGUUUUCAUUAUCAUUUGCUUGUUUAUUGAUUGGUGACAUGGCCAGUCUAUUUUAAUGAAGUCUAUUUCCCUGCAGUGUCUCUCCUAAGUAAGGCACAGCUUUGGACAUUCAUAGUUACUUGGGACAACAGUUUUAGCAGGGCUCUCUUUCUCCUUUCCUGAUCUCUCUGUUAAGCUGCCUGGCUCAUUUGAUAUCACAUCCAAAUUAUCAGCUGAUUGCUCUAUUGUUUUGGACAAUGCCCUGAAGCAUACCAAAAUGUGUCUGGAAUUGGUGGGUUCUUGGUCUUACUGACUUUAAGAAUGAAGUUGCGGACUUUUGCGGUGAUCCACCCUACCACAUAUUGUCUCCUAAUGGCCGUCCAGUUUAUCCUGGAGCCCUUGCAUGACACAGGCCUAUCGAAGCAUAGGAGAUGCCAAUAUUUUACCUCUUGGGUACUUUCUGUGUAGAAGAUUCAUAACAAGAACAAUACUUAUUCUGCAAUUCUUUAUAUAAAGCUAAAAGAAAAUGCAUUCUGCCAACAACUAAUGAGCUUGGAAGAGAACUCCAAACCCCAGAAGAGGCCUGUCACAUUGGCUAACACCUUGAUUUCCACCCACUGAGACCUUGAGCAGAGACUUCAGUUACACCCCACCCAGACUUCUGACCUGCAAAACUGUGAGCUAAUACAUGGAUGGUGUUUCAAGCUUCUGUUUGUAAAAUAUUGUUCCCCAGCAAUAGAAAAGUAAUACAUUUAUCUAAAAUCCUAUUGUUGAUAAAUGAGAGUCCAAGAUCUCCUAAGACUUAAAACAAGUCUUUUAUCUCCUGCUAGAGACAGAGAUAACAAACAGUGAUUUAAGAAUGCAUUUGAUCAAGCACCAAGGUAUAUAAUCAAGGUAUAGAUGCCCAUUGGGUGAGGAACACCCAAACUACUAUUCUUUAAUCAAUAAGAGAAGGUAAAAACUGAGAUUUAUAAUUGGUCAAACAUUAAUUCUGAAUAAAAGAAAACUAUUUCAGAGAAAGUGGAAUGUAUCUCCCACUAAAUUGCAUGGCUAGGAGUUAAAAAAAAAGGAAGCUACUCCUCCAACAUUUUAGCCUUUCAAAUCUGGUGGUACCAGCUAGAAACUAACAGGGGAUAUUUG